rnacentral:miRNA from 1 species
GUUUUAGAAAACCGCCAAAAAGUGCUAUUUUUGUGGCAGUUAUAUUAACUGCCACAAAUUACUACAUUUUUUGCGAUUUUAAACA